AUGUGUCCGUCCGUCCCCUUUCAAUACUUUAACGAAGUGAAAUCUCGUGCUGUUGGGUGUAAAAUCAGCAAUAAUCUCUCUGUGUGUGUGGCGUUUGAAUGUGCUCGCUGCAUUGCGUGUGAUGUUAAUCCUCUUCAUAAUUUAACCGUUUAUUUAUUUACGUGAUAUAUAUUUUUUUCAUAAUUUAACCGUUCAUUUAUUACGUGAUAUAUAUUUUUAUAAAAGUGCAAAAUAAAACAUGCAGGCACACAUCCCUCGUGUCCUGGCGGGCCCCGGGCCCAAGCGCAAGCGCAGGGCCUGCCUUGCCUGAUUUCGCUGCCGGACAAAAGCCCUCGUCGUCCCGGCGCUCCCCGGGCCCGCGCCAGGGCCUGCCUUGCCUGAUUUCGCUGCCGGAGAACUCGCGCGCCUUGCCGCGCGACGGAGUCCGGGUGAGACCGUGGUCUCUAAAGAGGAAGAUUUGUGAAGCACCAUGGAUGGGACAAUUCCAGUGAAGAUUGCUUCUUUGUGGUACAGAAAGAGCCGUCCUCGGACUGAAUUGUAACGUCAGAUCAAAUAAAUCUGCGAAACAUCAUCA